rnacentral:lncRNA from 1 species
CAUGAGCACCUCGGGCCUUCUCGUGGCUACCUCUGUGCUUCCCUGAGACCUGAUUUGUGAGCCCUUUUUGCUGGUUUUCGCCAGAGGUUUUUUACCAAAUCAAAAUUUCAACCAUUGACUAACACAGGGGUUGAAGGAAGAGGACGGGGAAGUUCAGUGAUGGAUGGGAACAACAGUCUUAGAUGAUAGGGAUAAUUAAGAGGGCAUAGUUGGGGACUUGUGGUUAUUUUGCACAGCUCUCUACUCUCAGUCCAAUGUUUGGAAAUGAGGAUGCUCCACGUGCUACCCUAAAGAACCAUUUAUGUAAGUGGACUAAGCUAAAACUGCCACAGCUAAACUAUUCCUGCCUCCCUGCUUGCUUCUCCCAUCUCUGUUCCAUAGUCUUUGGUGCUAUUUACAUAUAGGCCUUAAUCCAUUAGAAUCUCGUCUGAGAGUCUUGACACCAUUUUUUGUUUGUUUUGAGACAGUCUAGCUCUGUUGCCCAGGCUGGAGUGCAGUGGGGCGAUCUCGGCUCACUACAAGCUCCACUUCCCACGUUCAGACGAUUCGGUACCUCAGCCUCCCGAGUAGCUGGGAUUACAGGCGUGCGCCACCACAUCUGGCUAGUUUUUGUAUUUUUGGUAGAGAUGGGGUUUUCACGAUGUUGGCCAGGCUGGUCUCGAACUCAUGGCCUCAAGUGACCUGCCUGUCUCGGCCUCCCAAAGUGCUGAGAUUACAGCUGUGAGCCACCUCGCCCAGCUGAUUAUUGUAUUUUUAGUAGAGAUGUGUUUCAUGCGCGUCUGUGUGAAGACACCACCAAACAGGCUUUGUGUGAGCAACAUGGCUGUUUAUUUCACCUGGGUGCAGGCGGGCUGAGUCCGAAAAGAGAGUCAGCAAAGGGUGAUGGAUUAUCAUUAGUUCUUACAGGUUUUGGGAUAGGUGGUGAAGUUGAGAGCAAUGUUUUGUGGGCAGGGGUGGAUCUCACAAAGUACAUUCUCAAGGGUGGGGAGAAUUACAAAGAACCUUCUUAAGGGUGGGGGAGAUUACAAA